ensembl:ncRNA W09B12.2 ncRNA
ACAAGAUAUCGCCGUCUUUUAAUCACAAAAAAACACCACGGAAGAUGGAUAGAAUGGAAAAAUGAAGACUGAUUGAGAUGCCAAAAGUCUGCGGGCUUUGAGCAAGGUGGGGUAGGGACGCGAGAUUGGAGCAGGGGAGACACGCGGAGGGAGAACCGAGGACCACAACUGUUCUACAAGAUAUACAACGAAAUGUGGUUGGCAAGACGGAAGGGACGGGUGUGCUCUAUCUGAUCUUCUUUUAUUAUCACUUUCGAAAUGUGUCCUAUCA